AUCAGAGUCACAAUGAUGGUUAAUUGUAGCUAGACUUUCAAUCUAGUGUCCGUAAGGACUCGCGGGUUCAAUUCCCGUCUCUGAUAC
rnacentral:tRNA from 1 species